rnacentral:lncRNA from 1 species
AAAGAACUAGAGAAGCAAGACAAAACCCCAAAGCUAGAGGAAGACAAGAAAUAACUGAAAAUCCAAGCUGAACUGAAAGAAACUGAGACAUGAAAAAAAAAUUCAACAGAUCUACGAAUUCAGGUUUCUCCACAGACACUACCCAAAGCAGUCCUUCACUACAGUGGCAGACAGACCUGAAAAUUUUCAUCUGAAGCAGCAGAGUGAACUGCAGAGUCAGGUCACCAACCAGUGUGGAGGCUAACAGCAGGCCUCUUUGGGGAUUCCAGGUGGAAGUGUUGGACAUCUGUAGUAUUCCUGGUCUCGAAUCAUCCUGAUAUUCUUCAUUUUGUUAUUCACAUUGGACUAGGGAACAAAGAUCACCACAACUGGCUCCCCUUCAACUGUGUUAGAUGGCAGCUUGCCUUCAGUACGGUGAAACACAUUAGUUAAGACUGGGAUUGUGCAUGGCAGGACUUUCUACAAGGACACCCAGUCUCCUUAAUAAACAAGAGAUGCUCUCUUUCCAGAAGUUCUCUUGCCUGACACAGCAUAGGAAGAUGCUGAACGGCCACACAGUGAUCCAUUG